AACGUAGGUGGCGAGCGUUAUCCGGAUUUACUGGGCGUAAAGCAUGUGCAGACGGGUUGGUAAGUGGUGUAUGAAAGCGUCCGGCUUAACCGGGCAAGGGUAUGACCAGACUGCCAGUCUUGAGAAUGGGAGAGGGAUGUGGAAUUCCGGGUGUAGUGGUGAAAUGCGUAGAGAUCCGGAGGAACCCCAGAGGCGAAGGCGGCGAUCCGUGGCCCAUUUCGUGACGUUCAG
rnacentral:rRNA from 1 species